GGGUGAGGCUGUUGAGGCCCCGCCCCCUGUCGGAGCCGGUCCUUUUUUCCGGAAGGCGGAGGGUAGGCUGUGGCCUUGGGUCCCCAGCGGUGCGGCCAUUGCUUGUGCGGCUCCAGGGCCGGGCACGUGCCUCUAUAGCAUCCCCUCCUCCUCUGGAUGUUUGGGGAUCGUAGUGAGAUCUUGUGUGGGAUGGCCUCGGGUAGUGGCUUCCGGAGGCCAGGAUAAUGGGAAGGCAAGACUCCCCACCUCAGCCCCUCGCUCCUGCUUCUGCAGGGCCUUUGAAAAGUUAAGGCUCUGGGCCUUCAGCUCUACCCUUUCCCCUGUCCUAGGGCUAGAGAAAGGAGGGCGCCAGCAGUGCACCCAUUUCCAGGAUUGGACCCUGCAGUUCUAGCUGGCUUCUUCCAACCAGGGAGCACAGCCUACCCUAGUUGGCAGCCGCUGGACUGCCUGGCCAGAAGGCACAUUCCUAUCUCCUGAGCCCAGGUACCCCGCCUGCCCUCGGGGCAGCCUCUUCCGGAACUUUGCUGCCAAUUCAGCCCAGCCCUCUUGUCAGUGUUGCCCUCUCCCUCAGGCUUCUUGUGCCUUAAGUCCCCAACUGCUUUUUUCCCCUAGUCUAUUAAGAGGCAUAGGACUCAGCUGGCCUUUGUCCCUCCUACCUGUACUGGGCAGACAGCUAAAUUUAAUGUCGGUCUUUGGGUUUUGGCAGGAAGGCUAUGUGUCUGUUGAGCAACUGUCCUCCAGCCUUUCUCAGCCUUACCCAGGGUACGAGCACCAGGGGUAUGGCAGUGGAUUUUGUUUGCAGCAGAAUGAACUCAGGAUUGAUACCAGAAAGGCCUUUCCAAUCCUAAGCAUUUUAUUUUUAGUAAGAUCAUCAGAUUAUUGAUAUGUUGAUUGUAGAGAAGUCCAAGAAUUGAAGAACAAGGCUGGUGCCCUGUAGUGGAUGCUUGUAGUUGGAGCUACUUAGGGUGCUGAGGUGGGAGGAUCACUUGAGCCCAGGAGUUCUGGACCAGCUUGAGCAACCUACCAAGACUCUGUCUCUUAAAAAAUAAAAAUAGGGCCAGGGAUUUAGCUUAGUGGUGCUGCCUGCCUUGUAAACACAAGGUCCUAAGUUUGAUCCCCAGUACCAAAAAAAAAAGUCUUAAAAAAAAAAAUAGAUGAGCACAAGUAAGUAAAAAUUCCCUAUGAUCCCACCACCAGGACUUAACAACUGUCAGCAUAUUUUCUGUGGAUCUGAUAAACAAUUAAUGAUUAAUAAAUACAAAAUCUGGAGUCAUGCUAUAUAUUUUGUUUGGUAAGGCCCUUGGUGUUUUAAUAGCUUUUUCCUCUCACUAUAAAAGGAGGAAAGGCUAAUUACAGAACUUUUGGAAAAUAUGACAAGUUAAAAGGAAAAAAAACCGAGUCUCCAAAGGCAGCCACAGUGUUUCCUUCAUCACCUGGGUUAGUGUUUAGUUUUGAAUGAUGGUACACCAUCACUUCUGUAUAUACUAUUUCAAAUCCUGCUUUUCUCAAUGCUAUAUAGUAUGCUUCUUUGUUCCUGUCAGCUUGUGGAAGGCUUGAGAGUUGAAAACCUGUUCUUGGAGGAGCUUUAAAAAGUCAGAUUUCAGGGGUGAUUUAUUGGACUGGGAGGUCACUUUCCAACUUUGGUAAUCCUCUUUACCUGCAAACCCCCAAGGAAUGGUUCCCCAUUGCCACUAACCUCUAAUAAGUGUCUUGGGGUGAGUGUCCUGCUUGCUGGGGGCCCAGGAGGCCACUUCGCUUGCACAGGGACCUGGAAGACUCGUGGCUGACCCAGCUGACCUAGCUGAGAUGUGGACUCAGGCAAAGGGCAUUGAUCUGGCUCAGAUGUGAAAGAGUUCAGGGAGGUCUCAGACAUCAGCCUUAUGGGGACCUGGCUGGCUCAUCCACUCUCAGAUCCAGAGGCCCCUUGUUGGUCCUGUGAAACACCUGCUAUCCUGGAUCCUCAGCUUCUAGCUAGAGGCAUAGAGGCUGGCAUCAGAUGCAGUCUCCUCUGACCUGCUGCCCCCAAGCCUAGUACAAGCUGCCCUUGCCUCCACCACCACUGCUGCUGGGGCUUCCUCUUCUUUCCCUUUCCUGAACAGUUAGUUCAUUUCUAACACAUUCAAGCCCUAUGUGAAAAUUGGUUGCCAGAGAUGGAUUGGCAUUUAAAAGGCAUCCAAAACAAAGUGGGUGGGAUGAGAGGAUAUGGAAAAGAGACAAAGGAAUGUAGGGCCCUGUGUUUUGAGCAACAGCUGGAUUUAGUAGAUGGAAAAAAUCACAGAAGGCCCUUAUUUCUGGCACAGGGGUUCUGGGUGUGGCACCAGACACACCAUGUCAUGCCUGGUCACCGCAUGCCACUACCACUGUGUGCUCUCAGAAAUGAAAAGAUGAGGGAGGUAUAUUGUCAGCCUGUAGCCAGUGUCCCUAAAAAUUAUAUUCUCCUAACAGGUUUAUUCAUUUAUCCAAUAUUUAAAUCCUUUUCACUUUACCUAUCUCAAGGAGACACCCAGAUUGGGACCCAGAUUGAUGCUCUGAACAUGGUUUAUCUGGAUUUGCUCUUGUGGGCUGGGCACUGCCUGUGUAUAGAACUUCCCAAGUGACAAGAUGGUAUAUAUGUAUGUCUUGUGGGAUGAGGACUGGUUCUUCACAUGGAGAUGGAGGAGGAUGCUACCAGGAUGGAACCCAGGGCCUCCUGCAUGCUAGGUAAGUGCUUUACCCCAGCUUCCCACUUGCUUUUUAUCAAUGGCAGCCAAUGGCCACUGGCUGAGUUGCCCUUUGCGGGCAUCUGCUUUUCCACUGGGCCAUGGGCACUGGGAGGAAUGAGGUGCUGGUAAACCUUGGCCCUUUGACCCAGUAUGCCUUGACCUAAGGUCCAGGAAGGACUGCUUUGGGGACUGAAGGAACACUGAUAAGCCCUUUUGUCCAAGAGAGCUAGGUCUUUCUGCCUUGUGGUGUAGAGGGCAGAGAGAACUUGAAAGUCAAGGUAGUCCAGGCCCACCUUUCACAAAUGGAGAAAUUCAGUCAGGAUGGCACACAGCCUGUUAGUGGCCAAGCCAGGUCCCUUAUGCAGAGCAUGGCUCCCAUUCUGGUGCUCUGGGGUGGCUCAUGCCUCUCUCUCUCCCAUUUCCUCAUCUGUCUUUGGCUCCUCACAUAUGAGCUUCAGACCAGACUUGAGCAGGACCACAUUGGCCAAGGCACAAGGAAGGCUGAGAUUUGUAACCAAAAUGAGUCUAAGCAGGACUCAAGAACAGCCAGGAGCGAUGGGAAAAUCCCUGCUCUUCGGGGCCAAGUCGCAGGGCAGGGUCGGCUCUGCAUUUGGGAGAUUCCCUGUCCCAGAGAAGGCCCAGUGGGUGGAGAGGUUGCAGGUGGUCUUGUAACUGCCCUUGAGGUCUCCCUUAGUAGCUAAUGCAGUGGUGGCGAACCUAUGUCAAUCGUGUCAGUAGGCACGCAGAGCCCUCUCUGUUGGUAUGUGAGCCAAGUUGCCCUAGCAUCACCCCAGCAGCUGAGCCUUCAGGUUUAAUUGCAAUGUUGGCACUUUGCAAAAAAUAAGUGGGUUCUGGGUUGCAAUUUUGCCAUUGUCUCUAAAAGGUUCAUCACCACUGAGCUAGUGUGUUAUCACUACUUCCCUAAGGAGGCUGUCCAGCCCCCACCCCCAUACCUUUGCAGACCAUUAGGUAGCUCCAGAGUGGUCUGGCCCUUUGGUGAGAAGGGGCAGCUAGCCCCUCCCCUGUAUGCAUCCCCCAGGGCAGGUUGGCUGUGGAGCCGUCAAAGCCCCUGGGCCAGCUGUGAAAGAGCAGGGGGCUUGAGGCAGGAAAGCCCAUGCCAGGCAUGAAUUUUUUUUGGCACUGUGACUUUGUGAUAAUAAUGCUUCUAUCUGGUGGACAUCUAUGUUUGCAGGCCUACUGUGUGCCAAACUCUGAAAUUAGCCAUGAUCUGGAUGGAUAGAAUCCCUUUUUUACGGGGUGGGGGUGUUUUGAGACAGGGUCUCACUAUGUAGCCCAGGCUGGUCUCCAACUCAGCAAGCCUCCUGUCUCAGCCUCCCAAGUUCUGGGAUUACAGGUAUGUGCCACCUUGUCCAGCUUUAGAAUUUCUGUUUUGAGGAGGUGUAGCCAAGGGAGAAAAGGCAUUAAUUGAAAAGCCUAGUUCUCUGAGUUAUUGUGUGUUCAUGUAUGGGAGUACACGUUGAUCACAAGGCAAGAUGAGAUGGUAAAGGAUGCAGAGCUUCUCAGAUGCAGACAGGGAGCCCUGGGCCUAGGCUGGAGCUGAUCUGGGGACAGAUAAAGGCUGAGGCAGUCCAAACUGAAAGAAUCGGGCAUCCUGAUUCCAGCUGUGUGGCCACAGUCAACUGUCCACCUUCUCUGGGUUCCUUUGGGGCUAGCAGUUUCCUUCCAGCCCCAUUAGCACUCAGGCAGUGUAUCUUCUUUUCCAGUGCUCUCCGAGGUCCUGGUCUUCAAGAUAUCUGGCAGCAACAACCUUGACUUUGGAAUGCUUGAGGCACUGCCCCAGGGGACGCCUGGAGCCAGCACAGCACAGCUGCCUCAGGCCCCACCUGCCAUUUCCUCUUUGCCCUUUUGCUUUCCCAGAGCCACCCCCUUGGGCCAAAAAAAGCCUGAAAGAGAGGAAAUGAAUUGGUCCUUAUUUCCCCCAUGGAGGUCCAGGGAGGUCCAGAGAGACAUUCGUGUGUUCACUCAUUGAAUUAGUGAUUUUUGAAACACCUGUGAAUUACUAGGUCCUAUGGUAUGUGUUGGAUGGUCC
rnacentral:lncRNA from 1 species